rnacentral:lncRNA from 1 species
AGAGAAAUCAAGAAAUCAAGCAUUGAAAAGGUAAAUUUCAUUGAUUUUCCUUGUGAUUUUCACUACCCAUGCAUUUUUUUCUCAUUUCCAUGCAAAAUUAGAAAGUGGGUAUGGACACCCAUGCUGGCCAAACCUCCAUGGAUGAGUUUUGAGCUUGAUUUUUGGUUGAUUUUAAUUGAAUUAAGUGAUUUUAGUUAAGUUAUAUUGAAAUAUAGCAAAAAUAAGCUAGAAAUAUAAUUUUUUCCCAUUGAAACCCAUUAUGCUGAAUUUUCUAGGGGAAUAUUGGCUGCUGAUCUUGAUGGUUAUUUGAGGAAUUAUGAUGAAUAAUGAUGAAUUAUGAGCCUAGAAAAAUAAUGGAAAUUUUCGGAGCAAAAAUACAAAUUUUUACCCACUAGGGGUAUUUUCGUAAUUUGUUAUCGGGACUGAUAAUUUGCACCACACUGAGGGACAUUAAGUCAAUUUGGGUGCAAUUGAGGUAUAGAAACUGAAAAAAAUUAAUUUGGAGUUUAAACGGACGCGUAUAUCAAUUUAUCGGGUAAAAGACCGAAAUAGGCUAACACCGCAUUUAGGCAAAAAUUUAGACAUUUUUGCAUUCCAUAUCAAGCAUUAGUAGUCUAAAUUAGUUUAAUUUCAAUUUAGUACCAAUGUGGUGAAUUUCUCGAUUUUGUACUGUGUCAAGGUGGUGAGUCCUCUGAUAAAGGCAAGGGAAUUGCACCCGAGGACCAAUAGUCUGAGUAUUUCGAAAAUCCCCACUCUAGACACGGUGAGUAACCUUACCAUCAUUUUAAUUAUCUAAAGUAUGUUUUUAUUCGGUUUUGGUGAAUUUUAUGAAAAUGAGUUCAAAUGGUAAAUUUUUAUGUUUUGUAAACAAAAUGAGUUUAAAUGAAAAUAUUUUAUAAAUUGUCUUGAAACGAAAUAACGAUUUUGAAAAUAGAGUAAUUGGAGACCACUGAUAUGUUGUAAAUUUAAAAUUGAAUUAAUGGCUUAUGUUAUUGUAUUGGCAUGACUGGCUGGGCUGUGUUUUUUAUGAAUUGUAUGAAUUGCUUUAUUUUACCCUUGCAGGCUGGGUAGUAAUAUAUUAGCCCUGUCAUGCUGUCAAAAUUUUAUUGUAUGGUGGGUUUGACCUGCUGCAGUGGGCUGGAUUCUGUGGACUAGCCUAUUAGAGGGGCACGGAAUCCUGUUAUAUUUUUACCUCGGUUGGAGAGGCGAGUAGGGUAACUCCUGAGGUAUAACUUUUAGAGUUCACUUCACGCCAAACCACCUCGUGAAGGGGAACUCGGCCAACGCCAAGGAAUGGCUAUGUUUUCAAAAUAAAAACAUGACUUUCUAAUAGCCUUGGCGGACUCAGUUGGGAUAGCCCUCGGCCAAGGUAUCCCAAAUAACUGAGUAUGAUAAUAAUUUUUGGCAUGAGCCAAGCUUUUUAAGAAAUUCAUAAGCCAUACUGAUUACUUGCUUUAAAUAAAUUGAUUUCAUUUGGUUGAAAUAAGUUGAAAGAUGAUAAAUUACAGUUUGAUGAAAUGUUUUAAUAGUCUCCUUUUACUCGACUUUAGAUAUUUUGAGUGAUGUUUGUUUACUCACUGGGAUUUUAUAAUCUCACCACCCUCAUUUCCACCCAUUUCAGGUUCAGAAUAGAUUGUAGAUAACUGAUAUCGGCAAGGAUUACAGUUGAACUUGCCACAUCCAAAGACUGUAGGUUCAUUUCUUUUGAUACUUUUGGUCAUUCGUGGGCCCACGUGUCACUGUAAAUUAAAUUCUAUACUUUGGUUAUCUGUAUUACGGUAUGUAAGAAUUUAUUUUGCUUUUACGCUAUAAAAAUUAUUUAUGCAGUGGUUCUUAAAUAUCGUUUUAUGUGAAAAUUGAAUAUUUUAUUGAAUAUUUUUAUUUUAUUAUAACAGUCAUAAUUCCAUUUUAAACGAAUGUUUUAGACAUCCAAAAUUAUUUUUGAUUAAGAAAUAUGUGUUUUCCACUUACAUACUAUAUUUUUAGAUGAUUUUUGAGAUUUUUGGGAUAAAUGACAAAAAUACCCCUGUGAGAUAAAAAUUAUUAUUUCAUUUGUUUAAGUUGGAAACAGUUUAAAAUCUUUUAAAAUGUGGUAUUUGGAAACAAUUACCCACAGGGGAAAUGAGAAGCUGAUAUUAAAGCCUUGCGGGGUCUCGGUUGACAUUCCGGGUAAUGAAUGUAAAUUGAGACGUCGCGGCGGUUGUCACGGGCUCGAUGGGAGUUCCGGGUCGUGACA